rnacentral:rRNA from 1 species
UACGAAGGGGGCUAGCGUUGUUCGGAAUUACUGGGCGUAAAGGGCGCGUAGGCUGUGCUGUAAGUCAGGCGUGAAAUCCCCGGGCUCAACCUGGGAAUUGCGCAUGAUACUGCGGCGCUUGAAGACGGGAGAGGAUGGCGGAAUUCCCAGUGUAGAGGUGAAAUUCGUAGAUAUUGGGAAGAACACCGGUGGCGAAGGCGGCUCUCUGGUCCGGUUCUGACGCUGAGACGCGAAAGCGUGGGGAGCGAACAGG